GCUGAUGUGAAGCUAUCUCGUUCGUGAGGGUUAAUAAACCAAAGGAUUUAUUUUCAGAAAUGUAUUUAUUGCAAGAAGACAGCAUAAUCGUACAAUCGAUGAGAAAUUGUCAGUUUUCUAUUGUGAAUUACGAUGAAAAAAAAAGAAAAGAAAAAAGAAGAAGAAGAAACUCACGACGAUAGCUGUGGAACGAUAAACUGUUCGAUCGGUGCCGACUGAGACUAAUUACUACUCUGAUUGUAACGUCUUCGGCCAUUAUCGUAAUUUAUAACGCGGGAUCAUUUGUUCGCGCGGUCCAUCAUUCGAUGCAGUAUGUGAAUGCACACCAUCGACAAAGAGAUAUCGAGUUAACAUUUUGUGCGAAAUGCGCGCGUAUUGGGUUUAAAUUAAUUAAAGAUUGCAGCGCCAAUGUGCGGUGAAAUGCGGAAUACACUUCCUGCGAUUCUCGAACGUAAUCGAUAUUUCUCACGAUCGAUCUUUAACUGGAAAUUGGCGGUUAAAAAUGGCGGAGAGUAGCAUACGUCACCUGUAAAGAAGGAAGU